GGUGAGCAUUUCCUCUGGACAUAACUGCAGAAUGGACUGAACAGAUAGAGGCUCAGACAGCCCCCACAGUGAGGGUCGCUCAGGGUGGAGGGCAGCAAUGGGGUCAGUUGGAGGGAGGCUCACCAAGGCUCCUGAGGCUGGCCAGCGAGCGUCCCAGGUACCAAGGGACUGCCCUUGUGCCUGUAGCAGGGGGAUCUUGGGCACGUUUACCUGGUGGCCCAGCUGUGUCUCCACUGGAGCCUUUCCCUGAACCGUCCAGCACGCUAGAGGCCCGCACCUUGAGUGUGGCCCCCCAUCACCACCGACCCUGUCUCUCCCUGCCUUGACUGGUGAUGGACCAUCAGGGUUUGACUCCAGAGAGGGAGCCUGAGAAAUGACUACCACAUCCAGGGAGGGCAGCAGUGCACAAAUUACCUGACCUGGGAGGUAGUGAUGAAAGGUAAUACAGGAUUCUUUCCAGGCCUUGUAAUUGGAGUGAGUCCACUUUAAAUCCUUUAAUUAGGAUCCAAAUCUGCUGCCGGCAGCUGGGGUGAUUCCAGCUCUAAUAGUGUAUGUUAAAGUUGCUACAGUUAAAAAGCUCAUAGUUGGGUCUUGGGAGCGGGUGGGCGGUCUGCCACAAGGUGAGCCACCCCCUGUCCCUGCCACUUGCCUCUCAGUGCCCCGUGAGUGCUCUUAGCUGAGUGUCCCUGGGGCCUAAAGCAUUUACUUGGAAAAAAUUAGAGUGUUCAAAGCAGGCCUGAGCUGCCUGGGUACUGCAGCUAGGAAUAAUGGCAUAGGACUGCCCCCCACCCCCAGCCCCGUGGCGACAACCCAUUCUAACAUCUGCCCUAUCAACUUUUGAUGGUAGUUCCCAUGCCUACCAUGGUCACCGCAGGCCUAUUUUGUUGGUUGUCAGAACUGAGGCUAUGAUUCAGAGGGAGAGCACGGGGAUUUGUAUUGCACCGCUAGAGGUGAAAUUCUUGAACCUGCACAAAACAGACCAGAGCAAAAGCAUUUGCCCAGAAUGUUUUCAUUAAUCAAGAGUGACAGUCCAGAGGUUCAGAGCUGGUCAGAUACUGUCGUAGUUCUGACCACUACGGAUGCCGACUGGCAAAACGGCAGAAUUAUUCCCCUGACGCACCAGGCAGCUGCUGAGAAACCAAAGUAUUUGGGCUCUGGGGGGAGUUUGGUUGCAGAGCCGAAACUUAUAGGACUUGAUGGAAGGGCACCACCAGGAAGUAGAGCCUGGGGCUCAAUCUGACUAAACACGGAAAACAUCACCUGGCUGGGCCCAGACAGGACUGAUAAACUGACAGUCUUUCUUGAUUCCAUGGGUGUUGGUGUGUGGCCAUUCUUACGUGGUGGAGGGAUUUGUCUGGUAAAUUCCAGUAUCGAAUGAGACUCUGGCAUGCUAACUAGUUACAUGAGCCCCAACUCUGCAUUUUCAAACUCCUGAGAGGGACAAGUGGUGUUCAGCUAUCCGAGAUUUAGCAACAGCAGGUUGGUGAUGCCCUUAGAUGUCUGGGACUGCACAUGUGCUACAGUGACCGGUCCCGCAUGCGCCUCCCCUCGGCUGGCAGAUGUGGUAACCUGUCGAACCCUGUUGGGGAUGGGGAUUGGGGAUUGCAAUUUUUCCCCAUGAGUGAGGAAUUCCCAAUAAACGUGGGUCAUAAGCUAGCAUUAAGUCCCUGCCAUUUGUACAUACACUGUAUAUUGAUUUUUUUUUUUUUUUUUUGAGCAAGGGGCAGAGAGAGAAAGAGGGAGAGGGAGAAUCCCACAAAGGGCAAAGAGAGAGCGAGAGAAGUGGGGCUCACCUGAAGUGGGGUUCCAACUCAG
rnacentral:rRNA from 1 species